CCCUUAGAUGUUCUGGGCCGCACGCGCGCUACACUGACGGAGGCAGCGAGCAUGUCCUUCGCCGAGAGGUGUGGGGAAUCUUGUGAGUCUCCGUCGUGCUGGGGAUAGAUGGUUGCAAUUGUCGAUCUUGAACGAGGAAUUCCUAGUAAGCGCGAGUCAUCAGCUCGCGUUGAUUACGUCCCUGCCCUUUGUACACACCGCCCGUCGCUACUACCGAUUGGAUGGUUUAGUGAGACCCUCGGAUCGGUCCCGACUCGGGGUGGGCUUCUGCCCCGGUCGUGGUUUCGCCGAGAAGACGGUCAAACUUGACUAUCUAGAGGAAGUAAAAGUCGUAACA
rnacentral:rRNA from 1 species